rnacentral:rRNA from 1 species
GACGAACGCUGGCGGCGUGCUUAACACAUGCAAGUCGAACGGAAAGGCCCUGCUUGCAGGGUACUCGAGUGGCGAACGGGUGAGUAACACGUGGGUGAUCUGCCCUGCACUUCGGGAUAAGCCUGGGAAACUGGGUCUAAUACCGGAUAGGAGCCAUUUUUAGUGUGAUGGUUGGAAAGUUUUUUCGGUGUAGGAUGAGCUCGCGGCCUAUCAGCUUGUUGGUGGGGUAAUGGCCUACCAAGGCGGCGACGGGUAGCCGGCCUGAGAGGGUGGACGGCCACAUUGGGACUGAGAUACGGCCCAGACUCCUACGGGAGGCAGCAGUGGGGAAGAGUGCACAAUGGGCGCAAGCCUGAUGCAGCGACGCCGCGUGGGGGAUGACGGCCUUCGGGUUGUAAACUCCUUUCGCUAGGGACGAAGCUUUUUGUGACGGUACCUAGAUAAGAAGCACCGGCUAACUACGUG